rnacentral:lncRNA from 1 species
UGUGGACAGGGGGCAUGCCAUUCUUGAGCACUACAAAACUUACCUCAGGGCUUGAUCGAUCAACAUGGUGAUGGAAUGCACCUGAAAGUAGGAUCGAAAUAUCCAUGCUGAGAUCACCAAGGCAUAAGCAGUCUUUUUCACCUUGGGAUACCUGACCUCUACAUUACGCAACACUCUGUUGGUAUAAUAGAGGGCUUUUGGACACUGUUUUCCUUUUGGACGAGGACCAAACUUAU